rnacentral:rRNA from 1 species
AUGUCGGUUAGGUUUUUUGGUGCGUUUGUGCUUGUCGGCGGGACGGUGCAAGGCGCAACUCCGACGCGCUCCAUCUUCUUCCUGCUCCUCUGCUUCGGCUACUGUAUGGGACAUGGCCAUGGCUACAUUGAUCCAUACAUCCAUCUAGAAAUAAGAAUAGAAGCUCCUCAGGCCGCACCACAGCGAUUUGGGAUUCCUGGCCGUCGGAUCGGGUGGCUUGAUCGGAUCUGGGCCGUCGGAGCGACCCCUCCUGCCCCGCCGGGGGCAUUCUCGCCAUUUCGCUUUGUCUGUGGCGGUGGCGUUCGUGCUAGGGCGAUGAUGAUUAACUGUGGCUGGAAUGAGUGUGCCUUUGAGCAAUCAUGGCACCUAUGGGUAUCAAGUUGGAUCCUCCCUGUUGUCUCUAGAAUCCUUUUUGAUCCUGUGAUACCUAUUGAUCUGUCCUUGGAUGUGUUUAUAGCCAUCUUCCAUAAAUCUGAGCCAUUGAGCGGACAUUUCCUUUUGUUUUCUUUGGUUUGUUCUGAAGCUUUCCCCAAUUCUAUCUGUCACCACUGCAUUUUGUGGAUCAUGCACCAGACUAAAUAUGAAUGUGUAACUGAAUGUUCUUUUCUAUUCAUGGUUGAUUCACUGUUGAACUGUACAUAUUUAGGACGCUGUCAACCAAAGGCGAGAGCAGCUACAUCUGUUGCAAGCACGGCCUUGACACUGGCGGCCGGACAACUCGAUCAUGGCGUCCACUCUAGCGUGCAGUUCAUCGGAGCCGUCACGCAGAUAGUGACGACCUUUGGGCCAACAACACAUGGACAUUUUAGAGAUAAACUAUUGCAUCAGAAAUUUGCUUGGCGAAGAUCUGGGACACUCGGGUACAUUAGACCCAUGAGGAUGGUCAUUGGCCAUAUAAUGCCACUAGAUGUAGUGUCUGAUAGCAUCUUGUAUUGCUUCAGUUUUAAUCAAGUAAACUGGAGCAGCUCAAAAUUUUCUCCUUUUUUGCCUUCAAAGGACCAAGCUCAUCUCAAAUUUAGGAGCACGGCUUUUGCUCUCGCCACUGUUGUGCUCCUCCUCUUCCUCCUUGGCCAUGCGCUCAAGUGGGAGGCGGAGCUUGCCUCCCCCAAUGACGACGGCUUCGACCCCAAGUGGAAGUGGGAGGCCAAGUCCAAGCCAUGCACCGCCGGCAAGGUCGAAACCAAGUGGGGCGCCGAGGAAGCCAACGAGGAUGACAAGAAGCCGGCAAGAAAGUGCGUCCAGAUCAAGGAGAUCCCCAUCGGCUGCGACAUCCAGAUCGAGCAUUACCUACUUGACCAAAACGUUCGGACAGGCACCCUCGCGCCAAGGCACGUUGCUGAUCUAGUCACUAUUAUAGCUUGUCCUUUUUGCCGUAUGCCUGGUGGCCCGUGUUCUUCUGUUGAUUCUUCUGUAGAUGGGUUUAGUGUGGUCCUGGAUCGGCGUUGUUGGAGGCGUGUUUAUGUUCCGUGCAGUGUUAGAGCUCAUCUUGCUCCUUACAUCGAGGAGUGUAGAGCUUUAGCCAUAAGGAGGGGUGACGAAGAUACUGAUCUUGCUCUUCAGUGCAAUGAGGGUUAUUUGUAUGGUGUUCUGUUUAGUCAUGGUCGGGGGAGGAGCAAAUUUCAUGUGGUAUACAAGGACAUGCUCGCGUGUGGCAAGUUGGACGACGAUAAUCCCUUGUCUCAUUCCUCGUACUUUUUGAUGAUCCUCUCCACGGUCCUUGGGUCGUUGGUGUACACCACCUCCAGCACGGUUGUACUGUGGGUAGUGAUGUGUUCGGUGAGUGUUGUUAGUUUCCCGUCGUCCAUGGCUGGAGGUGUGCGGUGGUGA